AGUGAACGCUGGCGGCAGGCCUAAUACAUGCCAGUCGAACGGCAGCACAGCAGAGCUUGCUCUGUGGGUGGCGAGUGGCGGACGGGUGAGGAAUACAUGGGAAUCUGCCCAGUCGUGGGGGAUAACGUAUGGAAACGUACGCUAAUACCGCAUGCGCCCUUUGGGGGAAAGCCGGGGACCUUCGGGCCUGGCGCGAUUGGAUGAGCCCAUGUUCGAUUAGCUAGUUGGCGGGGUAAAGGCCCACCAAGGCGACGAUCGAUAGCUGGCCUGAGAGGAUGAUCAGCCACACUGGGACUGAGACACGGCCCAGACUCCUACGGGAGGCAGCAGUAGGGAAUAUUGGACAAUGGGCGCAAGCCUGAUCCAGCCAUGCCGCGUGAGUGAAGAAGGCCCUCGGGUUGUAAAGCUCUUUUGUCCGGAAAGAAAAGCAUUCGGUUAAUACCCGGGUGUUCUGACGGUACCGGAAGAAUAAGCACCGGCUAACUUCGUG
rnacentral:rRNA from 1 species